rnacentral:tRNA from 4 species
GGCGGCGUAGCUCAGUUGGCUAGAGCAAUCGGUUCAUACCCGGUCGGUCAGCGGUUCGAAUCCACUCGCCGCUACCA